rnacentral:rRNA from 1 species
UACGAAGGGGGCUAGCGUUGCUCGGAAUUACUGGGCGUAAAGCGCACGUAGGCGGCUCUUUAAGUCGGGGGUGAAAUCCUGGAGCUCAACUCCAGAACUGCCUUCGAUACUGUAGAGCUUGAGUUCGGGAGAGGUGAGUGGAACUGCGAGUGUAGAGGUGAAAUUCGUAGAUAUUCGGAAGAACACCAGUGGCGAAGGCGGCUCACUGGACUGGUAUUGACGCUGAGGUGCGAAAGCGUGGGGAGCAAACAGG